GGAGGAGAGAGGCGAGAGUGGCCAGCAUGUCACAUGACCGUCGGGAGAUCCCUGAGCAGAGCUGAUCACAUGACUGACUGGAAAUGCACCCUGGUCACUGAGAACUAUUCCCCGAAGUUAAGUCUGUGUUUGCUCUCAGGCUUUGACAAGGUGAACACUCCACAGUUUCCAAAGAGCAGAGUCGACAGACACUCAUGCCAAAAGGGGAAUUCGCCUACGCAGCGAGCGACCUCAAACCACAGCCUUACCUGGUCCUGACAGACUGCAAUCUGACUCUCCCACACCCACAGAAGACCGUGUGCCCUGCGUAGGAUGCAACGGGAGAGCGGCCAAAAGCAGCAGCGCUGACACAUGAAAACACAACCAAAAAUGUUCGACUCCCAGCCAAUAUUGUUCCAACACUAUAACACUUUUAAAUGAGUAAUGUUCAUUGUUCCAUCAUGUUGUUUUUUCAUUUAGCUGGACAAGAAUCACUGUCACUAUAACUGUUUUUAGCAUUGUAUUUAUGAAAUAACCACUGCAACCAUUCUCAACAA